AACGGACCCCCAUGUUCUAGACUAUGGCGCCCUCAUGUUCUAGACUACGGUGCCCUCAUGUUCUAGACUACAGCGCCCUCGUGUUCUACACUACGGCAGAAUUCAUGGAUAUGUUAGUCCCACUGGGAAAUUUUUCAUUGAAAAAAGAAAUUUGUUGAGAGGGCCCCACGUCCCAGAAACCUGAGGGGCUGGAUCACUGAGAGGACCGAGCUCAACUACAGUCUCUCUUGGACAUUGCUAAGGUAAAGGAAAUGGACUCUAGUCCUACAGCACUCUUUACUCCUUCAGGGCCUCAGUUUCCUUCAGAGAUGAUGGGAUUAGACUGUAAAUUUCCUAGUAAAGUGCUUUUGAGAGAAAAUUAUAUGGACUGCAAACCCACCUGGACAGAGUACAGCCACUAAACCAGACCUUCCUAUGGUAUUUUCCACAGUCACCUCAUUUAAUUGAAUGUAUUUGCACCCCGUGGCAUACUACAAAUCACUCCCCAUUGGGUCAGGGAUUCCCCCUCCAUGCCACUUGAUAGUUUCCCAGUACCCUUUGGAAAAUGAGACUUAACCAAGCAUUUCCAGAAAGGUCUGAAGAGACAUUACUGCUUACACAUGUAACUGGGAAAGGCCGCAGCAGGACUGAACUGAUGGUGAAUAAAUUGAGCUGGCCGGCUGCUGAGCUUCUCAGCUACAGAAUGCCGUGUCCCUUGGGUGUAGUUAUUAGUUUUGUCUGGCUUCCUCCCAUUCUACAGAACGAACUGGUUUCAGGAGCAGGCUGACCAAAGAGGCCGCAGGGAAAAGCACCUAAACAUGUCAGCUUGAGGGAGACUAGAACUUCACCCUCUGCUCCCUCUGAGCUGAUAUCCACUCUGAAAACCUCCAGUUCUUGGCACAAAGACGGAGUGAGCCUCUGAUGAGUUUCAGGAAGGAGCCAGUUGUGGCUAUACCUGUUCUGCCUGCCGGCUCGGCCUUGGAUCUGGCUGACUGCAGAGUGAGAGACCUUUGGCUGUUAUUUCAAGCUCUUGGAACAGAGGGCGGACUCUGCCCCCUCCCCCAAAUUGGAGAUUUCGAUUCAAAGGAGUUUAGAGUGGGAUACCUUGGUUUUGGAAUGCCAAGAAGCAGACAGGAAAGGUGAUUUGGUAACAAACACAACACUCAGUGUCAUGGGCCUGGGUGACAAUGUGCACCUUUGAGGCUUUUGGGGCACGGUUGCAGUGGAAUGCACAGCUGUGUGCUUGUGCCUCUAGUGCAGCUUACACAGCAAUCUUAGACCUCGGAUUUAAAGAGAUGAGACGCACGAGGACUGUUGGUGGUGAGAGGGAGGCCGCAGUUCAUGGUGGUUCCACCACAUAUGGGCAGCUGUUUUUAUACAAGGGGCCGGUUUUCCCAACCAGAGCUUCCCAUGCAUUAAAUAAAGCCACGCAGGCCACUGAAACUUCUGGAAGCUGGCCGUAGUAGCUUAACCUUGAUCUACCCACCAGAUAUAAACAGUGUGCAGAAUGUUUGUUACUAUGGUUGUUGAUCUCACCGCUUUAAAUUAUGAAUCCAGGCAUUGCCCUUAAAGUACACAACAAACGUGUUUGUGUGAUGUAAGGCUUUGGGGAACCCGUGUUGAAGUCUUAGCUUUAAGUGUGGGCGUGUACGGUGCCUUCAAGAACAGAAAAUACCCAUUCAUCCUAAACUAUCCUAAGGAUUCAAACAUUUCAAAGACAAUGUCGAUUCAGACUCUGGUAAGGAGGCUUCUGUAGCCAGAGCAAGGCGAAGCUAGUGUAAGAGUUCUUGUGGCUAAGAGAUUUUACAACAGAGGCAUAAGGUCCGUCGUGGGGAGAGUGAAAGGUACGUGCGUACGACUAUCCACAAGAGAUUAUCAUCAUAACCAGGGAAAGUGUAGACAGACCAUUUCCCACAGAAGGAACUAGAAGCCCCUCCUAGUGAGCAAUGCUGAGCCUUCACAGGCAGAGCAGAGUGUGCACUGACAGAUGAUGUUCCCUUCAAGAGCUGAC
ensembl:lncRNA